rnacentral:rRNA from 1 species
GACGAACGCUGGCGGCGUGCUUAACACAUGCAAGUCGAACGGAAAGGCCUCUUUCGGGGGGUACUCGAGUGGCGAACGGGUGAGUAACACGUGAGUAACCUGCCCUUGACUUUGGGAUAACUUCAGGAAACUGAGGCUAAUACCGGAUAGGAGCUCCUGCUGCAUGGUGGGGGUUGGAAAGUUUCGGCGGUUGGGGAUGGACUCGCGGCUUAUCAGCUUGUUGGUGGGGUAGUGGCUUACCAAGGCUUUGACGGGUAGCCGGCCUGAGAGGGUGACCGGCCACAUUGGGACUGAGAUACGGCCCAGACUCCUACGGGAGGCAGCAGUGGGGAAGAUUGCACAAUGGGUGGAAGCCUGAUGCAGCAACGCCGUGUGCGGGAUGACGGCCUUCGGGUUGUAAACCGCUUUCGCUCAUGACGAAGCUUUGUGUGACGGUAGUGGGUAAAGAAGCACCGGCUAACUACGUG